UACGGAGGAUGCAAGCGUUAUCCGGAAUGAUUGGGCGUAAAGCGUCCGCAGGUGGCUAUGUAAGUCUGCUGUUAAAGAGUGAGGCUCAACCUCAUAAGAGCAGUGGAAACUACAAGGCUAGAGUACGUUCGGGGCAGAGGGAAUUCCUGGUGUAGCGGUGAAAUGCGUAGAGAUCAGGAAGAACACCAGUGGCGAAGGCGCUUUGCUAGGCCGUAACUGACACUGAGGGACGAAAGCUAGGGGAGCGAAUGGG
rnacentral:rRNA from 1 species